rnacentral:lncRNA from 1 species
GAUAAAACAGAACCAGGCUAAAAGUGCCAUUUCAGUGUACUGGGGGACAAGAAAGGUGGUGAGAUAUACAAGGGCCCUAUAGUUUGGAUAUUUGCAACUGUCUAGCUGAGUAAACAGGAUUCAGGGCACACGGGGAAGAAAGGGUUGUGAUCUAGUGGAGGAGAAAUCUUCAAGUAACUAAACGGGGUAGAAUUAUAAAGAGAGAGGAAGGAGGAUGAGCAGCUGGGAUCCUGAGCUGAUGUUCUUAUGAUGGGCCAUUCAGUUGAAUUCAGUUACACUUGGCACCUGCAUUCUUUGCCAGUUUCUGUCCUGGGCACUGGAGCUGCAAAGAUGAGUAAGAUGUGGCCUGUGUUUGUGACAGGGGAUAGGCAUGGUUUGGAUUCAGUGUGGUGAGUGUUAGAACGUGAGCCCUUAUGAGGACAGGAAAGUUGGCCGUUUUUGUUUUUCACUGCCGUCUCCAGCACCUAGUAGCCAGUGAGUGUUCAAUAAAUAUUUGUUGUGUGAAUGAUAGUGGUAUGUAUAAGAUGCUAUGGGAGCAGAGUGGAAAGAUUGGGGGUGAGAGGAAGAGGCAACGUUUGAGGUAAGUAUUGACAGAUUGGUUGGAAUUAGCUAGGAGAUAAGGGUGGGAGUAUGUUUUGGGGCCCAGAGUCUGUUAGAGAUGGGGACAAGGUGAAAGUUGUGCAGAGGAGAUUCUUGGAAUGAAACCACUUGCCUUUCACAUCACUUAAAGGUAGACACUGGAGCUGUGGUCACCACACUGGGCUCUCAGGGUGGCAAGGGGACUAGCAUGGCUUGGGGAGCUCCCACCUUGGAACAGGAGAUGGAUUUUGACAUGAACUGUUUCUCCUCCAGUGCUUCAGUACCAUCUCUGCAGUGGCAGAGAGGGGGCUACAAGGAAACGAGUUUCUUAAAUCACUCAUCUUCAUGUUCACUGAGCAUGAAGAGAGACUUCAGUGAAGUAAUUGGAUGAGUAAGUAAUGAUACUUCUAAGUAACAUUUUAAAGACAAAUAUUACAGAAUUUAUAUUUCUGCUUGAGAAGCCAUCCCUUCAAAGCAGUUACAUAAGGAAGGUUACUUAUUCUCAGAGGUGCUGCUGCCAUUAUUCUAAGUGCCUUUGUAACUCCACUUUGGGGAAAAGCUCUCAAGCCUAUGGGGCACACUUUUAAAUUUCCUAAGUGUUGGCAGAAUUGCCUUUGAGGAAAUAUUUUCUCUUUAACAGUCAAAAGUCACCUGGAGCUGGAACAGAUGAACAGCAGCUCCGGGAUCCACCUACUUCUCUCCCUUCACACUUGCUGCCGCAGACCUUUUUCACCUGGAUUACUGGUGCUGCUGCCCAGAUGACCUCUCUGCUGCCAGUACCUUCUUCUCCAACCCAUUUUCUACAUCACAUUAUUCACUUGACACAUUAAUUAAGAUAUUGUGUGUCAGGGACUAUGCUAGAUGCCUCAGGAACUCAUAGGCUGGCAGGGAAGAUAUAAUGAGUGCAGUACAGUGUGUUAGGAGAGGGUCUCCUAACCUAGUAACAUCUGAGGCAAGACCUAGAGGAUGAAGAGUUAAGCAGGCAAAGGAGAAGGGAGAAAGGAAGAAUGUUAUAAGUAGAGGGAAUAGUAUGUGAUAGCUCAAAGGAAGCAGUGGCUAAAAGGUCACCUGGAAGAUUGGACAGGGAAUGUGACAGAAGAGUAGGAAGUAAGUUUAGAGGUCAUGCAGGGUCCUGCCAACCACAUUAAGGAAUCUGGACAAUCCUGUGGGUGGUGUAGUCACUAAAGAUUUUAAGUAAGACAGUGUCGUGAUCAGAUGGAUGUUUUCAAAAGAACACUGGAUACUGUGAUGGGGAAUAUUAGAGUAAGGAAGGUAGAGACACUGGCUAGGAGGCCACAGCAGUGCUGUAAGCCAGGGGUUGGCAGGCCAGGUGUCACUCCCUAUUUUUCAGUGGUUCAUGAGCGAAGAAUAAGAAUGAUUUUUAAAUGUUUAAAUAGUUGGGGGAAAAAAAGUUUAAAUAGUUGAAAAAUCUAAAGAAUAUUUUGUGACAUAAAAAUUGCAUGAAAUUCAAAUUUCAGUGUCCAUAAAUUACAUUUUUUUGGACCACAGAUGCACUUGUUUACUGAUUGUCUGUGGUUACUUUCAGGCUCUAGAUUUGAGUAGUUGAGAAUCUGGCCUGCACAGCUUAAAACACUACCUGGCCCCUAUAGAAAAGGUGCCUACUCCUGCUCUGAGCAAUGGAUGAUGAUGGCCUACACUAAAGUAGCAGCAGUAGGAAGGAAGAAACUCUGGAUUGGCAUUUAGAGAUUUUUUUAGGACUGAUUCAGGGAGGCCUUUAAGGGGUGGAAUUUACAGGCCUAGAUGAUACAGAUGGGGUGAGGACUACUGCACUAGCCUCCUAGCUGGUCUCCCUACUUUCAUUUUUGCCCCUCUGCAGCCCAUUCACUAUUCCCCAGCCAUUAAAGAAAAAAAAAAAGUGCCAUUCCCUACUUUCAAUUCUAAAAUUACUCUUCUCACUGUUGCCCUUAGGUUAAGUUUCAGAUAAAAUGUUCCUAAUUUAACCCUGCCUACCUCUAUAACCCAAAUGUCUUCAUUCUGGUCUUACUGGACUACUUUAGUUGUAUUUGCCCCAGACCCCAUCUCUUCUUGCCUCCUACGCCUUUGCAUAAACCUCCAUGUGCUUGGAGUCUGCACUAAACCUUCUCCCCACCGCCACUCCCAAAAUGCUUUGUGCAUUUGCAGCGCUGUAGUGUUGGGUGUGUUGCAUGUUUAAAUUUCUGCGUUUAUCCCUAGACUGAAUUUAAGAAGGCAGCAACUGGCGCACUUGUCCAUACCCAGCAGAUAGUAGACGCUUAAUAAAGAACGAACUAAGGUGGACGACUUCAUCUACAUCAUGCGGCAGCCUCAAUUACAAAUCGUUUGUGAAACGUGCAUAGUAAUCCCUGUUUCACAUGGCUGUUUUAAGAAUAAAAUGCACGAAAAAUGCCUAGCGUGCUCAAUAAACGUGAGGUGAAAUUAAACCUGAUUUGUGGCC